rnacentral:rRNA from 1 species
UACAGAGACUGCGAGCGUUAUUCGGAUUCACUGGGCGUAAAGGGUGCGCAGGCGGCCGUGUGUGUGAGGCGUGAAAGCCUGGAGCUUAACUCCAGAAUUGCACCUCAAACUACAUGGCUAGAGCAUUGGAGAGGGUAGCGGAAUUCACGGUGUAGCAGUGAAAUGCGUAGAUAUCGUGAGGAACACCAGUGGCGAAGGCGACUACCUGGCCUGUUCUUGACGCUGAGGCGCGAAAGCUAGGGGAGCAAACGGG